UACGAAGGGGGCUAGCGUUGUUCGGAUUUACUGGGCGUAAAGCGCACGUAGGCGGAUCGUUAAGUCGGGGGUGAAAUCCUGGAGCUCAACUCCAGAACUGCCUUCGAUACUGGCGAUCUUGAGUCCGGAAGGGGUGAGUGGAAUUCCUAGUGUAGAGGUGGAAUUCGUAGAUAUUAGGAAGAACACCAGUGGCGAAGGCGGCUCACUGGUCCGGUACUGACGCUGAGGUGCGAAAGCGUGGGGAGCGAACAGG
rnacentral:rRNA from 1 species